AUUGAACGCUGGCGGAAUGCUUUACACAUGCAAGUCGAACGGUAGAGGGGGCAACCCCUCGAGAGUGGCGAACGGGUGAGUAAUAUAUCGGAACGUGCCCAGUCGUGGGGGAUAACGUAGCGAAAGUUACGCUAAUACCGCAUACGAUCUAAGGAUGAAAGCGGGGGAUCGCAAGACCUCGCGCGAUUGGAGCGGCCGAUAUCAGAUUAGGUAGUUGGGGGGGUAAAGGCUCACCAAGCCAACGAUCUGUAGCUGGUCUGAGAGGAAGACCAGCCACACUGGAACUGAGACACGGGCCAGACUCCUACGGGAGGCAGCAGUGGGGAAUUUUGGACAAUGGACGCAAGUCUGAUCCAGCCAUUCCGCGUGCAGGAUGAAGGCCCUCGGGUUGUAAACUGCUUUUGUACGGAACGAAAAGGUCUCUCUUAAUACGGGGGACUCAUGACGGUACCGUAAGAAUAAGCACCGGCUAACUACGUGCCAGCCGCCGCCGUAA
rnacentral:rRNA from 1 species